rnacentral:rRNA from 1 species
GAUGAACGCUGGCGGCGUGCCUAAUACAUGCAAGUCGAGCGAACAGACGAGGAGCUUGCUCCUCUGACGUUAGCGGCGGACGGGUGAGUAACACGUGGAUAACCUACCUAUAAGACUGGGAUAACUUCGGGAAACCGGAGCUAAUACCGGAUAAUAUAUUGAACCGCAUGGUUCAAUAGUGAAAGACGGUUUUGCUGUCACUUAUAGAGGGAUCCGCGCCGCAUUAGCUAGUUGGUAAGGUAACGGCUUACCAAGGCAACGAUGCGUAGCCGACCUGAGAGGAUGAUCGGCCACACUGGAACUGAGACACGCUCCAGACUCCUACGGGAGGCAGCAGUAGGGAAUCUUCCGCAAUGGGCGAAAGCCUGACGGAGCAACGCCGCGUGAGUGAUGAAGGUCUUCGGAUCGUAAAACUCUGUUAUUAGGGAAGAACAAAUGUGUAAGUAACUAUGCACGUCUUGACGGUACCUAAUCAGAAAGCCACGGCUAACUACGUG